rnacentral:rRNA from 1 species
AUGCCGUCGCUCUCCUGCCACAACCUGCUGGACCUGGCGGAGGAGCUGCCCCCAUCCCCGCUCCGGCUCCCGCGGGUCAUGGCCGGCGCCUCCCCCUCCUCGCCGGCCUCGCCGUCCCCGGCCGGGCCACCUCGCCGGGUCAUCGUCUCGCACCGGCUCCCCCUCCGCGCGUCCCCCGACCCCGCGGCGCCGUUCGGGCUGCGCUUCACCGUCGACGCGGGCACCGUCGCCUACCAGCUCCGCUCGGGCCUGCCCGCCUCCGCCCCCGUGCUGCACGUCGGCACGCUGCCCCCCGCCGCCGCCGAGGCCGCCUCCGACGAGCUCGCCAGCUACCUGGUGGCGCACUUCUCCUGCCUCCCCGUCUUCCUCCCCGCCGACCUCCACGGCAAGUUCUACCACGGCUUCUGCAAGCACUACAUGUGGCCGCUCCUCCACUACCUGCUCCCGCUCACGCCCUCCACGCUCGGGGGGCUGCCCUUCGACCGCGCGCUCUACCACUCCUUCCUCUCCGCCAACCGCGCCUUCGCCGACCGCCUCACCGAGGUGCUCGCCCCCGACGACGACUUCGUCUGGAUCCAGGACUACCACCUCCUCGCCCUCCCCACCUUCCUCCGCAAGCGCUUCCCGCGCGCCAGAGUCGGAUUCUUCCUCCACUCGCCCUUCCCCUCCUCCGAGAUCUUCCGCACCAUCCCCGUCCGCGACGACCUGCUCCGCGCCCUCCUCAACGCCGACCUCGUCGGCUUCCACACCUUCGACUACGCGCGCCACUUCCUUUCGGCCUGCUCCCGCCUCCUCGGCCUCGACUACCAGUCCAAGCGCGGAUACAUCGGCAUCGAGUACUACGGCCGCACCGUCACCGUCAAGAUUCUGCCCGUCGGCAUCGACAUGGGCCAGCUCCGGUCGGUCGUGUCGGCGCCGGAGACGGCGGACGUGGUGCGCCAGGUCGCCGACGCCUACAAGGGGAGGCGCCUCAUGCUCGGCGUGGACGACGUCGACCUCUUCAAGGGGAUCGGGCUCAAGUUCCUGGGGAUGGAGCAGCUGCUGGUGGAGAACCCCGAGCUCCGGGGCAAGGCCGUGCUCGUGCAAAUCACCAAUCCGGCGCGCAGCGAGGGCCGGGACGUGCAGGAGGUGCAGGAUGAGGCCAGAGCCAUCAGCGCCCGUGUCAACGAGCGGUUCGGCACCCCCGGGUACACCCCCAUCGUGAUGAUCAGCCGCCCGGUGUCGGAGCACGAGAAGGCGGCUUACUACGCCGCCGCCGAGUGCUGCGUGGUGAGCGCCGUCCGCGACGGGCUCAACCGGAUUCCGUACAUCUACACGGUGUGCCGGCAGGAGAGCACCGCCCUGGGCGACGCCCCCAAGCGAAGCGUCAUCGUGCUGUCCGAGUUCGUGGGAUGCUCCCCGUCGCUCAGCGGGGCGAUCCGGGUGAACCCAUGGAGCGUGGAGUCCGUGGCAGAGGCCAUGAGCUCGGCAUUGAGGAUGUCCGACGGCGAGCAGCGGCUGCGCCACGAGAAGCAUUACAAGUAUGUGAGCACCCAUGAUGUGGCCUACUGGGCGCGGUCCUUCGACCAGGACCUGCAGCGGGCCUGCAAGGACCAUUUCUCGCGGCGGCAUUGGGGGAUUGGGUUCGGGAUGAGCUUCAAGGUGGUGGCGCUUGGCCCAAAUUUCAGGCGGCUCUCCGUCGAGCACAUUGUGCCGUCGUUCAGGAAGACGGAGAACCGGCUGAUUCUCCUGGACUACGAUGGCACCGUGAUGCCGGAGAGUUCCAUCGACAAGGCGCCGAGCAGUGAGGUCAUCUCUGUCUUGAAUCGGCUGUGCGAAGAUCCGAAGAACAGGGUGUUCAUCGUGAGCGGUCGGGGGAAGGAUGAGCUGAGCAAGUGGUUCGCGCCAUGUGAGAAGCUGGGGAUUGCUGCAGAGCAUGGCUACUUCACUAGGUGGAGCAAGGAAUCGCCAUGGGAGACCUGCGGGCUGGUGGCAGACUUCGAUUGGAAGAAGACGGCCGAGCCGGUGAUGAGACUGUACACAGAGGCCACCGAUGGAUCGUACAUCGAGCACAAGGAGAGCGCGCUGGUGUGGCACCACGACGAGGCGGAUCCUGACUUCGGUUCAUGCCAGGCGAAGGAGCUGCUCGACCAUCUCGAGAGCGUGCUCGCCAACGAGCCAGUCGUCGUGAAGAGGGGCCAGCACAUCGUGGAGGUUAACCCCCAGGGCAUCAGCAAGGGCGUGGUGGUGGAGAGCCUCCUGUCGUCCAUGGUGCGCGGCGGCAAGGCGCCCGACUUCGUGCUCUGCAUCGGGGACGACCGGUCCGACGAGGACAUGUUCGAGAGCAUCGUGUGCCCGGCCAACGGCAGCGUGAAGCUCCCGGCGACGAGCGAGGUGUUCGCGUGCACCGUGGGGAAGAAGCCGAGCAUGGCCAAGUACUACCUGGACGACACGGUGGACGUGAUCAAGAUGCUGCAGGGGCUCGCGAACGCGCCGUCGCAGCAGCGGCCGUGGCCCGUGCAGCUCCGGGUCACCUUCGAGGAAGGAAACGGAGUAUGA